rnacentral:rRNA from 1 species
UCUCGAUAGGUGAAGAUCUCUGGAAUGAGUUUUCGCUUAAAAGACGUUGGGGUUAUGCUCUCCAGUGUCGCCCAAGGAUGGGGCCGCGACCGAUCAGGUUGUUGGUGAGGUAAUGGCUCACCAAGCCUUUUACCGGUGCGGGCCGUGGGAGCGGGAGCCCGGAGAUGGGCACUGAGACAAGGGCCCAGGCCCUACGGGGCGCAGCAGUCGCGAAAACUUUGCAAUAAGCGAAAGCUUGACAGGGCUAUCCCGAGUGCCAUCCGCUGAGGAAGGCUUUUACCCAGUCUAGAACGCUGGGGGAAUAAGGAGAGGGCAAGUCUGGUGUCAGCCGCCGCGGUAAUACCAGCUCUCCGAGUGGUGUGGAUGUUUAUUGGGCCUAAAGCAUCCGUAGCUGGCUAGGCUAGUCCCCUGUUAAAUCCACCGAAUUAAUCGUUGGAUUGCGGGGGAUACUGCUUGGCUAGGGGACGAGAGAGGCAGACGGUAUUUCCGGGGUAGGGGUGAAACCCUAUAAUCCCAGGAGGACCACCAGUGGCGAAGGCUGUCUGCUAGAACGCGCCCGACGGUGAGGGAUGAAAGCUGGGGGAGCGAACCGGAUUAGAUACCCGGGUAGUCCCAGCUGUAAACGAUGCAGACUAGGUGUUUGGACGGCCACGUGCCGUUCUAGUGCCGCAGGGAAGCUGUUAAGUCUGCCGCCUGG